AGCAGCCGCGGUAAUUCCAGCUCCAAUAGCGUAUAUUAAAGUUGUUGCAGUUAAAAAGCUCGUAGUUGAAUUUCGGGGUUAGCAGGUCGGUCGUGCCAUCGGUAUGAACUGGUCUCGCUGAUCCCUCCCCUCUUGAAGAACUGUGAUGCCAUUUAAUUUGGUGUCGCGAGGGAAUCAGGACUUGUUACUUUAGAAAAAUUAGAGUUAGUUUAAAGCAGGCUCACGCUUAGAAUACAUUAGCAUGGAAUAAUGAAAUAGGACGUUUGAUCCUAUUUUGUUGGUUUCUAGGAUUGACGUAAUGAUUAAUAGGGAUAGUUGGGGGCAUUAGUAUUCAAUUGUCAGAGGUGAAAUUCUUGGAUUUAUUGAAGACUAACUACUGCGAAAGCAUUUGCCAAGGAUGUUUUCAUUAAUCAAGAACGAAAGUUAGGGGAUCGAAGACGAUCAGAUACCGUCGUAGUCUUAACCAUAAACUAUGCCGACUAGGGAUCGGAUGAUGUUUAAUUUUUUAAUGUACUCAUUC
rnacentral:rRNA from 1 species